CACGUAGGAGACAAGCGUUAUCCGGAUUUACUGGGUGUAAAGCGCGUGCAGGCGGACCUGUAAGUUGGAUGUGAAAGCUCCUGGCUUAACUGGGAGAGGUCGUUCAAGACUGCAGGUCUCGAGGACAGCAGAGGGGAGUGGAAUUCCGAGUGUAGCGGUAAAAUGCAUAGAUAUUCGGAAGAACACCAGUGGCGAAGGCGGCUCUCUGGGCUGAUCCUGACGCUCAGACGCGAAAGCUAGGGUAGCAAACGGG
rnacentral:rRNA from 1 species